UGCUUCCAUGCCUGUAACUUCUGUCCAAAAGCCCUGCUCUAAGUCACUGCCUCCUGUCCUAGGGGUCACUUUCUUUUUGAGUAGGAUUUGAGUUUUGAGAGGGUAUUCUGCUCCUCUUAUCACCUGGUCCCUUUCCUUCUAAGGCCCAGAAGAGGAAGACAUGCUGCGGAUUUCAGCCUUCUUUCUAGCUUUCCUGGCUCCUGCAGCCACUCAGAUAUCUUCCAACUUGGAAGGGAGGCAGAUAUCAAUCACCAGGCAGAGUGGGUCAUCUGUUGUAAUCCCUUGUGAUAUCGUUAAUCAAAACACCAACUACGUCCACUGGUACCGAUACCAGGAGGGGAUGGCCCCACGCAGGCUUCUGUACUACGAGUUCUCCAGCUCACAGUUUGUGGUGGAUCAGGGAGUCAGUUCAGAGAAGUACCAUGUUUAUGAAGGCACAGGGAGGAGCUGUAAGUUCGUCCUCCGAAAUCUGGAAGAAAAGGAUUCUGGUGUGUAUUACUGUGCUGUCUGGAUGAGGCACAGUGAUUGA